rnacentral:lncRNA from 1 species
GAUCACACCUCUUGUCUUGUAGGCAUGUCAAUACCAAUUAUUUGGGGUGCUGUGCAUGGUCCUGAACUUCUGCCUUGAAGACUAAGCCAAGUGAAUACAGACACAAAGAGAAGUGUUAAUAUUUCAUAUUUUGAAGAUACCACAAAGAACAAAACUGGAAAGAAUUUGAAGAAUUGGGUAAACAUGCACCUUAUAGCUCUAUCUAUAACAGAAUCAGAAAUCACAAAAUCCAAUUUCAGUGCAGAAAACUAGACAUUUACGUCUGGUUUCAAGGAGCCUACGACUAUGUCCUUAUAUAAUGAACAAUAAAAAGUCUCC